rnacentral:rRNA from 1 species
UACGUAGGGACCAAGCGUUGUUCGGAUUUACUGGGCGUAAAGGGCGCGUAGGCGGCGUGACAAGUCACUUGUGAAAUCUCCGGGCUUAACUCGGAACGGCCAAGUGAUACUGUCGUGCUAGAGUGCAGAAGGGGCAAUCGGAAUUCUUGGUGUAGCGGUGAAAUGCGUAGAUAUCAAGAGGAACACCUGAGGUGAAGACGGGUUGCUGGGCUGACACUGACGCUGAAGCGCGAAAGCUAGGGGAGCGAAUGGG